rnacentral:lncRNA from 1 species
ACUAACCCCCUUUCCAUUAUAAAUAUAAUAACCCCUUUCCAUUAUCCCUCCCUAAUAAUAAUAAAGGGACUAUUGCUUCUGUCGUCCGUCGAGUCGUUGUCGUUUUUGCAGAAAGGUCCUUAUGGUUUUUGAUAAUUUAACCCACGGUCCCUUCUUAAGUGGAUCUGAAAAACGUUUCGUUUCUACACAACAACCCCUACAUUUAUAAGAAUUCACCCUGCGGUCCUUUUUUUUAUCUUAUCCACGCGCAGGUGAGGCGCAGGAGACGUGCUCAGGCGGGGGAAGGGAGGACGGCUCGCCGUGGU